AGAAAACUGCUUCUAAACUCCUUGGUAUUGAUGAGAUUAGCUCAGAAAUAGAUGCUAUCGAGCUCCCAUCUCUAAUGUUGAAAUGUCACGUUCCCUCCAAGCUAUGAGGCAGAAGCUUGUGCAGAGGGCGUUAGAGCUGAUCACUUUUUGGUAGAAAGAGAUCGCAUGAUUAUUUAUGAGGAGCAACUAAAUGCAAGACUUAGAUUCCCACUGGAUCCUUUUUACAUCUGAGUGCUUCAAUAUUACCAACUAUCAAUCAUGCAACUUCAUCCAAAUUCCUGGAGGUUAUUGAUUGGGUUCCGAGCAAAACAUCUGUUCACUAUGGAAAAGAUGUUCGACGACUUGUAUCGGUUAGGCACCCGGAAAAAUGAUGAACCUAAGAAAAAUGACGAAUUUUGAUUUUUUUCAAGCACAAUCGAACUGCCAGCUUUUUUUCCUAUCUCCUCUCAUUUUUAAAGAAUUGGAAAGGAAGAAUUCUCAUUCUUCAUAGUAAAAAACCAACCGCUUGGUAAGGUAUUCUUGGGAACUAGAACUACUUAGCUGACAAGACAGGAAGGAAUCCUCAACUAAACCUUUUCGAGGACAUUUAUGUGGCCAAACUCAAGGAGCAAUGGAAGAAAAAGCGUUUUAAAAUUGCCAAUAUUGAUAAGGAUGAACUGAACUAUUGGUUUAGCACUUAUGUUGCCAAAACAGACAUGCUCGUAGAACUUGCUGACUUUGGUCCCUCUUCCGAGAUUUCCGUUAAGAACCUUUUCUUUCAAAUUGCGAUACUUACAAACUACUCUUUUUGUGCAAAUAUGGCGGGGAACUAGAAAUAGGAAGUGGCUCGAUUAAUUAGAGAAUUAAAGAAGAAAAGGGUGGCCGAACUUGGACGGGCUCCCAAAAUCCAUCCAUUUCUGAUCAUGUCGGGAUUGAUCACCCUACUAACUAAUCUUGUAACCUUGUCUUUUUACAUUAAUGAAGUAUGCUUUGCCAAUCUCUCUUGGUUGUUUUAUUCAUGAAGUUUUUUUUUUAUUUUGCUAAGCUGCAUAAAAUUUCGGUCUGAACUUUUUAAGUUGAAUAUUUUCUUGAAGUAAACUUACCUAAUGAAAAUUUAAUUGCGUGGCCAAUAAAAUACAACUUGUGGUGCCUUG
rnacentral:misc_RNA from 1 species